rnacentral:rRNA from 1 species
UACGAAGGGGGCUAGCGUUGCUCGGAAUCACUGGGCGUAAAGGGCGCGUAGGCGGUUCUUUAAGUCAGGCGUGAAAGCCCUGGGCUCAACCUGGGAGUGGCGCUUGAUACUGGAGGACUAGAGAGUGGGAGAGGUUGGUGGAAUUCCCAGUGUAGAGGUGAAAUUCGUAGAUAUUGGGAAGAACACCGGUGGCGAAGGCGGCCAACUGGACCAUUUCUGACGCUGAGGCGCGAAAGCGUGGGGAGCAAACAGG